rnacentral:rRNA from 1 species
UACAGAGGGGGCAAGCGUUGUUCGGAAUUACUGGGCGUAAAGGGCGCGUAGGCGGCCAACUAAGUCGGACGUGAAAAUCCCCGGGCUCAACCCGGGAACUGCGUCCGAUACUGGAUGGCUUGAAUCCGGGAGAGGAUGUGGAAUUCCAGGUGUAGCGGUGAAAUGCGUAGAUAUCUGGAGGAACACCGGUGGUCGAAAGCGGCAUCCUGGACCGGUACUGACGCUGAGACGCGA